CCUACGGGAGGCAGCAGUAGGGAAUCUUUCACAAUGGGCGAAAGCCUGAUGGAGCAACGCCGCGUGCAGGAUGAAGGCCUUCGGGUUGUAAACUGCUUUUAUAAGCGAGAAAUAUGAUGGUAACUUAUGAAUAAGGAUCGGCUAACUACGUGCCAGCAGCCGCGGUCAUACGUAGGAUCCGAGCAUUAUCCGGAGUGACUGGGUGUAAAGAGUUGCGUAGGUGGCAUAAGAAGUAGCUAGUGAAAUCUGGUGGCUCAACCAUUCAGACUAUUAGCUAAACUGUUAAGCUCGAGACCGUUAGGGGUAACUGGAAUUUCUAGUGUAGGAGUGAAAUCCGUAGAUAUUAGAAGGAACACCAAUAGCGUAGGCAGGUUACUGGGACGGUACUGACACUAAGGCACGAAAGCGUAGGGAGCGAACGGGAUUAGAUACCCGAGUAGUC
rnacentral:rRNA from 1 species